rnacentral:rRNA from 1 species
GUCUACAGCCAUGCUACCCUGAAAGUGCCUGAUCUCAUCUGAUCUCGGAAGCUAAGCAGUGUCGGCCCUUGUUAGCACUUGGAUUGGAGACCACUUAGGAAGACCAGGUGCUGUAGGCA